AGAGUUUGAUCAUGGCUCAGGAUGAACGCUGGCGGCGUGCCUAACACAUGCAAGUCGAACGGUGGGAAACCACAGUGGCGCACGGGUGAGUAAGACGCAGCUAACCUGCCCUAGGGUUCGGGAUAACGCCGCGAAAGCGGCGCUAAUACCGGAUAAGCUGGUGAGAAGUAGAAAACACCAGGAAAGAUUAAUCGCCGAAGGAGGGGGCUGCGGCCCAUCAGGUAGUUGGUAGGGUAAAAGCCUACCAAGCCGACGACGGGUCGGGGGUCUGAGAGGAUGACCCCCCACACUGGGACUGAGACACGGCCCAGACUCCUACGGGAGGCAGCAGUGAGGGAUAUUGCACAAUGGGGGAAACCCUGAUGCAGCGACGCCGCGUGGGCGAAGACGGUCUUCGGAUUGUAAAGCCCUUUUCUGUGUGACGAGGAAGGACGGUAGCACAGGAAGAAGUCUCGGCUAACUACGUGCCAGCAGCUGCGGUAAAACGUAGGAGGCAAGCGUUAUCCGGAGUUACUGGGCGUAAAGCGCGCGCAGGUGGUGCGUUAAGUGUGGGGUCAAAGACGCAGGCUCAACCUGGGGAAGGCAACACAGACUGACGGACUGGAGGCAGCUAGAGGGAUGCGGAAUUCGGGGUGUAGCGGUGAAAUGUGUAGAGAUCCCGAGGAACACCAGCGGUGAAGAC
rnacentral:rRNA from 1 species